rnacentral:rRNA from 1 species
GAUGAACGCUGGCGGCGUGCCUAAUACAUGCAAGUCGAGCGAACAGACGAGGAGCUUGCUCCUUCGACGUUAGCGGCGGACGGGUGAGUAACACGUAGGUAACCUACCUAUAAGACUGGGAUAACUUCGGGAAACCGGAGCUAAUACCGGAUAAUAUUUCGAACCGCAUGGUUCGAUAGUGAAAGAUGGCUUUGCUAUCACUUAUAGAUGGACCUGCGCCGUAUUAGCUAGUUGGUAAGGUAACGGCUUACCAAGGCAACGAUACGUAGCCGACCUGAGAGGGUGAUCGGCCACACUGGAACUGAGCCACGGUCCAGACUCCUACGGGAGGCAGCAGUAGGGAAUCUUCCGCAAUGGGCGAAAGCCUGACGGAGCAACGCCGCGUGAGUGAUGAAGGUCUUCGGAUCGUAAAACUCUGUUAUUAGGGAAGAACAAACGUGUAAGUAACUGUGCACGUCUUGACGGUACCUAAUCAGAAAGCCACGGCUAACUACGUG